ACUGCAUUCACAGACGUAUGAUUCAUACAUGUCCUUUUUUAAGUCCGCAGCAUCCGAAGCUGACGAAGACAUUCUGGGCCUUCAGAAAAUCCAUUUAAUCCUACCAAAAUGAUUAUCUACAGGGACAUACUUACAAAUGAUGAGCUUUUCUCCGACAAUUUCAAAAUGGAACUAGUGGGCCCGAACAAGAAUAUAAUUAGGAUCAAAGUAAAGAGAGUGACAGAAACCACAUCAGCUAACAUUGACAUUGGAGCUAACCCAUCUGCAGAGGAACAGGCUGAAGCAUUGGAAGACAGUAGCGUAACUAAUUUCGAUGUUUGCACCAACCAUCAAUUAGUGGAGGUGCCCGGAUAUACUUUAAAGGAAUUCCAGGGUGUGUUCAGGAAGUAUGUAAAGAGAUUGGAAAAGAAGAAGCGAGAGGAAAUCGAAGAGCUGGAGAAUGAAGGAAACAAGGGAGGAAAAGCAGACAAAAUGAAAGAAGAGCUAGAAAACUUCAAAGCCACCAUUGGGGAUGAUGUCAAGCAGGUAUUUGCACAAGGACUCAAGAAGAAGGAAUUCCUGUUCUUCAGUGGUGAAUCAAUGGAUCCAGAUGCUAUGGUUGCUCUUCUGUCGUUUGAAGACGGCGAUCCAGAUCCCUACAUGUAUUAUAUCAAAUUUGGUCUGUUGGAAGAGAAACAAUGAUGGUAAUUACUUCUAUUAAAGGCCAAGUCCACCCCAGAAAAUUGUUGAUUUGAAUCGAUAGAGAAAAAUAAAACAAACAUAACGCUGCAAAUUUCAUCAAAAUCGGAUGUAAAAUAAGAAAGUUAUGACGUUUUUAAGUUUCGCUUAUUUUUCACAAAACAGUUAAACGCACAACUCAGCGAUAUGCAAAUGAGAGAGUCGAUGAUGUCCAUCACUCACUAUUUCUUUUGUUUUUUAUUGUUUGAAUUAUACAAUAUUUCAAUUUUUACAGAUUUGACAACAAGGACCAACUUGACUUAACCAUAAACUUAAAAUAAUGGUAAUUCCACAUGUUCAGGGAGUAAUAAAAUUUUGUUUCACAUGACAAUGGGGAGAAAAUUAGAAUUUUUCAUAUUUCAUAUAAUAAAAUACAAAAGAAAUAGUGAGUGGGUGACGUCAUCAGUCUGCCAAUUUGCAUACCGUCCAGGAUGUGUAUAUAACUGUUUUUGUGAAAUUAAGCAAAAGUUUAAAAUGUCAUAACUUUCUUAUUUUACAUCCGAUUUUGAUGAAAUUUUCAGUGUUUUGCUUGUUGGAUUUUUCUCCUUUAUUCAAAUCAACUUUUUGGUGGGGUGGACUUGUCCUUUAAACCUCGACGUCUUUAACCCUUCGAAUCUUGAUUUGUUUGGAAUGGUGACACGACAUCUUCUCCGGCGACAAUUGCUCAGGUCUUCAGGGUUAGGGUCUCAGAAGGGUUUAUGUUAGGUUUAUGGGAUAGGAGGGCAUAAUGUUAAAAUCCAGGGUUGAAUUUGGUCAUUCCAUUUGUGGAAUUUACAGCGAAGCAAUUGUCGCCGCAGCAAAUGUCAUGGAACCAUGUGGGACGGCCGUGACCCUCACCCUGAAGUAUUCAUGAUUCGAGCCCCAGCCGUGCCAGUGGCACCUUACUCUGCUGGUACCCAGCCUGGCUUGGCUGAUGCUGUGUAGCUUCCCGUACUGACGAUAAUCUCAAAUUUUGUCUCAAAAUCUCUGCUUUGACAGAAGGAAAAUUCAUCAAUAGCUUAUACACAGUAUAUGACUUUCAAGAGCCUCCUUGGAAGGGCAGUGUAUUUUGGCAAUUUUUUAUGCUAAAACCUUCUGAACUUAUCAACCGAAUACCUCUAAGAAACAUGAUUUUCAAAAGGUCACCUGACAUACAGUAUAAAUCCCUUGCUUUUCGAGUCACAUGACUUGAAGCCACCGGCUUUCGGCUUUUAGGAUAUAUGCAUGUUCACGGUGAAGUCAGUUUUCCAGCUUUUCAGGUUGAAAGGGUUAAAGGCAUGUACAUGUAGGCUCACUCGCAGUAGAAUUGCCUGAAGCAUUUAAAAUCAUAUCUGUUCUUUUAUUUUUGUUGAAUAUUGUAAGCUAAUUCUGUAAUUCCUUCCCCGCAUCCCUCUGCGUCUCAAUAGUUUACUAGAUAGAUUGCGCAUAAUGAAUAAUGUGUGUUUAUAUUGUUAUUAUUAACCUUCUUCAGUCAUAUACUGCCAAGGCUUUUUUUAGCGGGCGAGAGAGCCAGGGCUUGAGUUCCUAUUGGCAUUUUCCCUCCAUCUACCCGAUCCCUUGUAUCUGUGAAAGAUGCAAGAAUAUCAGAUUUUGCUUCAUUGCAUAGGGUCCAGGAAGCUGAGGAGUUUUAGUUUCUCUGCUCCUCUGGGAAGCCCUUAAAGGGAUGAUCCAGGCUGGCGAUAUUUAUAUCUCAAUAAAUAGAGUAAAAUUCACAGAGCAAAAUGCUGAACAUUUGAUCAAAAUCGGCUAACAAAUAACAUAGUUAUGGCAUUUUAAAUAUUUGCAUUAUUCCGUUGAAACAGUUCUAGUGAAUAUUCAUGACGAUGUGCAUAUAACUGUUUUGACAAAAUAUUGAUUAAACUUGAAAUUCAAUAACUUCGUCAUUUGUUAUCCAAUUUUGAUGAAAUUUUCAGCAUUUUGCUCUGUGAAUUUUACUCUAUUUAGAUAUAAAUAUUUUCAGCCUGGACCAUCCCUUUAAGGCCACCACACACCUGAUGACUGGUUGCAACCCGAUUUUGGAAUAAAAACGUAAAAAAUUUAUGCGAACACUGACACAUGGAACACUGGUUAAAGUUCUAAAUCAUCUUACAAAUAUUAGUGUUCAAAUCUGUAGCAAUUGUAAGGUAGGCUGCGAUUUGAAACCAGUUCAGCAUUUACUAAGAUAAUAAAGGAUUGUAAUCAUCCAAAAUUGUUAUAUAAGUAUUCUUACAGUUAAUUUAAAAGGAUAAUUUGAUUCACAUUUACAUAAAAUAUUAAAGCAAAAUGGGAUUUGUUCCCAAAUCGGAUCGUGGACCAGUCGUAAGGUGUGCCGUGGCCUUUACUCUCCCGCUGAGUCUACUCUGAUUUUAGUAGCCCAGCGCAUUUUGAGAAUAAAAUUUGCAUCCUCCACCGACAGUUCCGGUGACCUCUACAAAUUUUAGAGACCCUUUAGGCUUUGCCAAAGCUACACGUAUAGACAGGCUUUGACUAUAAAAAUCAAUGUAAUGUAAUGAAGAGAAUGCAUCAACUAAUAGCUGAGAGUCUGUGUUAUGUGACUUGUCAGUCGCUAAUGAUGCAACAGCAAUGAAAACACAUUUCUUGUCUUCGGAAUUAUGUGCUCUACAUAAUGUCUGGAUAAGUUGUGUAUUCUACAGGAUAGUAAAGUUGGAUUUUGGUUUUAGUUUGGAAAUCCGUGGUGUUGUCAAUUUCCUUUGUAAGUUUCAACAUUUUCACUGUGGAAUCACUGUUUGUUAUCUACAUUUUGCAGUACAUGAUUGUAAUUCAGUUGAUGCCAUUAAUGUUUCCCCUUUUAAUCUCCUUUCUGUUGCAGUAACUUCAUCUCGUGCCCAGAACAUUAUUCCAUAGAAACAUCCUUUUCACCAAGUUCCGUCACUUUCUCUGUUGUCACCAUCCGAAGGAAAAGCAAUCGGACAAUCAAACACUCUCUGACGUACAUCUCAAUGAAAAACCAGUCAUCAAGAGACAUUGAAUCAUGGAAUUAUGGGAAAUGUUGAGAAUUGAACUUGUGGCCGAAAGGAAAGAGGACCUUGGGAGGGGAGGGGGGUAUCUCAAAUUAACUUAUACAGUCUCAGAUAAGCUUUAUGCCAGUCUACCACUUAGGUGUGAGGGAACCACUUGAUGACCUUUACCAGUGAUUAUGCAGAACCACUCACGCCUUCUUAGGUAGAGCCGCUUUACACUUACCAUGUGUUUCAAAACUAUUGUAAAUCCGCAAAAUGUAAGUUACGGUUUAGAGUCUGAUUCUCAAAAAUUCCCAUUUUGGCUAUUAAAAUAUAUGUUUGGGAAUAAAUUUUGGUAAACAUUUUAAGAUUCUGUAGAAAUUUCCUAGUGAUUUUUAAAUGGUAUAUACCGAAUAUCAUUCCAUCAAUUUGAUUCGUAUUGGACUGAAUUAUAUUUCCCCUAUUUAAAAAAAAAAUUCUCCAAAAGGUGCAAUUUAGUACAUGUACAUUCAGCUUUGAAGGUCCACGUAGAAUUCCACCUUAUUGCACUCGAUUUGCUUUUGAAUGAAUCCUUGGCCCCGUCUUACAAAGAGUUACGAUUGAUCCAAUUAUGUCAUGAUGUUUUCUUUACGAAAUAAUCGUUUAGUUUUUGACAAUCUCUGCCUUUUUCCCCAAAUGUUUUUUAAGUUGGUAAUUAUAUGCUUGAUGAAAAGCAAUUAUUUAUGCAUUGUCUAUACGUUACAAGCAAAUGAAGCAAGUAAGAAUGGGAAGUACUUUAUUCUUUUUAAAAACAAAUAAUGCCUCCCCUGUCAUUGUUAAAGAAAACAAGUUUGUUUUAAAUUAUUUUCCAUUCAGAUAAUCUCUGGUACAAUAACACACAUGCUAAACAGUUGUAUGUGUAUGUGUGAAAAGCCAUAUGCAUAUAUUUGCCAUGCAAAAUAGUAAUAAUAAAUAAAAAUAUGUAAAAAGUGAAACAA